UGCAUAAAGCACUUUAUCCCCCUAAUGGGUCUGAGAGGCAUGAAAAGGCCUGAGGACAUCCCACUCCAGCCCAGGAGCCUGAGCAGCCUGCAUCCUGUGAGGGUCCCCACCAUGGCCUGGACACUGAUUCUCCUUGGGCUUCUUGCUUAUGGCUCAGGAGCAGAUUCUCAGACUGUGGUGACCCAGGAGCCAUCACUCUCAGUGUCUCUGGGAGGGACAGUCACCCUCACAUGUGGCCUCAGCUCCGGGUCAGUCUCUACAAGUAACUACCCCAACUGGUCCCAGCAGACCCCAGGGCAGGCUCCUCGCACGAUUAUCUACAACACAAACAGCCGCCCCUCUGGGGUCCCUAAUCGCUUCACUGGAUCCAUCUCUGGGAACAAAGCCGCCCUCACCAUCACAGGAGCCCAGCCUGAGGACGAGGCUGACUACUACUGUGCUCUGGGAUUAACUACUACAUAUACUGGUACCAGUAGAAGCCAGGGAGCCCUCCCCGGUAUCUCCUGUACUAACUACUACUCAACGCCCUUUCUGAGAGUGAAAGACUCUACAGUCAUCUUGGGCAGCACUAUGGGCCAACUGUCCACGAAUCAGAUCACUGAUGUGGGAACAGACAGGGGAUCUGGUGAGCGGUAG